ensembl:lncRNA
UUUUUUUUUUUUUUUUUUUUGCUUUUUUAGGGCAGCACCUUUGGCAUAUGGAGGUUCCCAGGCUAGGGGGUCCAAUCAGAGCUACAGCUGCUGGCCUACACCACAGUCACAGGAAUGCCAGAUCUGAGCCACAUCUUCGACCUACACCACAGCUCACAGCAAGGCCAGAUCCUUAACCCACUGAGUGAGGCCAGGGAUUGAACCUGAAAUCUCAUGGUUCCUAGUUGGAUUUGUUUCUGCUGCGCCACAAUAGAACUCCGACAAUGCAUGUUAUAACUGCAUAAAAGCAUGCAUAUUAUCAAGAAAAAGCACAGACUUAGAAAAAAAAAAUAAGGAAUAGGAUCCCACCGUCACAAAGCCUUCAUCAGUUAGAUCUAGAUCUAAAACUCACAGAUCAUCUAUUUAGGACUCGUGGAUAAUCAUCAUGUAUUCUGUGAAUACAGCAGAUUGCCAUACAACAGAUGCUCAAAAAUCACAGAUAUAAUCCUGAAAUAAAACCAAAAAAUGAACCAAAUAAUGUAUGGGCAGGGAGGGCAAAAGUAUUAGCAUUACAGAACAUUCUGCACCUGGCACAUCAGAUUUGGACACCCAUGCACGCAGGUACCACAUUAUAGCAUCCAUGGAUGACUGUACAUAACAUCUCGUUGUGGUAACAUCUGAAUAUGGUAGCAUAAUUUGUUGGAAACAAUAAAUUUCUUUUAAAACUUUAUAUAUGCUACAUUUAGGAAUUUUUUUUUCUUUUUUUUUUUUUUUGUCUUUUUGUUGUUGUUGUUGUUGUUGCUAUUUCUUGGGACGCUCCCGCGGCAUAUGGAGGUUCCCAGGCUAGGGGUCCAAUCGGAGCUGUAGCCACCGGCCUACGCCAGAGCCACAGCAACGCGGGAUCCGAGCCGCGUCUGCAACCUACACCACAGCUCACGGCAACGCCGGAUCGUUAACCCACUGAGCAAGGGCAGGGACCAAACCCUCAACCUCAUGGUUCGAUCCCUGGCCUCGCUCAGUGGGUUAAGGAUCCGAUAUUGCCAUGAGCUGUGGUGGUGUAGGUCGCAGACGUGGCUUGGACCCUGUGUUGCUGUGGCUGUGGUGUAGGCCAGCAGCUGUAGCUCUGAUUCGAUCCCUAGCCUGGGAAACUCCAUAUGCCAUGGGUGUGGCCCUAAAAAAAAAAAAAAAAAAAGUAAUUACUAAAUGAAGGCAAAUAGAAAAUAAUUGAUCACCAUACUUCCAACUUUUGUAUAUGUAUGACAUUGGUUCAUCAUAAAAGUUGAAAAAGAAAACUAGCUUUGACCUUCAUGCAUCGGCCACAACCACUGGCUCUCCUCCUUCACUGCUGACCCCUUCAAUCACCAGUCAUUCCCUGACGGCUUUAACACCCAGCUCACUAUCUACUCUCUAGCAUUACACCCAUAAUAAUACUUGUUGAUGUCAAUAUCCACUCAGAUGACCCUGCCCAUAGCCUGGCCUCUAAGUCUUUGACUUCUGUGUUCCCAAAUAUCUCAACCUCCAUCUUACCUCAGCCAUCAACUCCAAGUCACACCCAAGGCCUUGUUAUUACC